rnacentral:rRNA from 1 species
AGUGAACGCUGGCGGUAGGCCUAACACAUGCAAGUCGAACGGCAGCACAGUAAGAGCUUGCUCUUACGGGUGGCGAGUGGCGGACGGGUGAGGAAUACAUCGGAAUCUACUUUUUCGUGGGGGAUAACGUAGGGAAACUUACGCUAAUACCGCAUACGACCUACGGGUGAAAGCAGGGGAUCUUCGGACCUUGCGCGAUUGAAUGAGCCGAUGUCGGAUUAGCUAGUUGGCGGGGUAAAGGCCCACCAAGGCGACGAUCCGUAGCUGGUCUGAGAGGAUGGUCGGCCACACUAGAACUGGGACAGGGUCCAGACUACUGAGGGAGGCAGCAGUCGGGAAUAUUGGACAAUGGGCGCAAGCCUGAUACAGCCAUACCGCGUGGGUGAAGGAAGCCUUCGGGUUGUGAAGCCCGUUUGUUGGGAGAGAAAAGCAGCAGGUUAAUACCCAGCUGUUGUGACGGUAACCAAUGAAUAAGCACCGGCUAACUUCGUG